CAGUGCCAGAUUUAAAACUCUUCGUGUGAUGGAAAAAUGACGAAAUAUAUUUUCACCAACUUUUUAAAUAGAAAAUUCCUCAUAAAAAUAACGUCACAGCUACAACAAUUUUGCUAAUAGAUACUAGAAUUGGGCUCUUUAAUGUUUGUAAAGUAUACUAUUUUAAGACAAAAAAUAAUACAUUUUCAGGCAUGCUUAUUUUCUGGUAAAUGUGCAAUACUGCAAGCCCGCAAAAACGAUCCUGGCCCAUCCUGACACCAGAAACCUUGUCCCGGCUCGAAAAUACCAAAUAUAAUUAAAUAUCUACCAAUGAAUUUGACCGUGUUAUUAUAUUAUUAACUACUUCAUAAACUAACAAAUUAAAAAUAAUUAUCAAAUCACGAAUACCCUUCUCGUCCCACACAGGUACCUAAUAUUCAAUGUCCACUGUAACUUCAAUCUAUUCGUUUUAUUUUUUCGAGUUUUACACGUGU